rnacentral:rRNA from 1 species
AUUGAACGCUGGCGGCAGGCCUAACACAUGCAAGUCGAGCGGAGCGGGGGACGGGGGAGUGAUGGCUAGGAAUCUGCCUGGGCGUAGGGGAUGACGUUCGGAAACGGGCGCGGAUGCUAAAAACUAUCAGAUGAGGCUAGGCCGGAUUGGCUAGUGGGUGGGGUAAGGGCCUACCAAGGCGACGAUCCGUAACUGGUCUGAGAGGAUGAUCAGUCACACUGGAACUGAGACACGGUCCAGACUCCUACGGGAGGCAGCAGUGGGGAAUAUUGGACAAUGGGCGAAAGCCUGAUCCAGCCAUGCCGCGUGUGUGAAGAAGGUCUUCGGGUUGUAAAGCACUUUAAGUUGGGAGGCGUUACCCACAGAAGAAGCACCGGCUAACUUCGUGCCAGCAGCCGCGGUAAUAC